AAUACUAUACGUUCAGGGAUAAUUUCUAUAGUUUGUUAUUAUAGAAGUUUCUCUGAUCCUGCAGAAUACCAAAAGCAACAAGAGGAGUGUAGCAUUCCCUUCUGAGUGUGAAGCUGACUUACAGUGCUCCUUUGCUGAAACUGCCUAUUGCCAUUGAUGAUCAUUCUUCACUCCUCUUUGGAGAGCAAAAGGAAAGGAACUCAGUCUGAGUGGU
ensembl:snoRNA U3 Small nucleolar RNA U3